rnacentral:rRNA from 1 species
UCUACGGGAGGCAGCAGUGGGGAAUAUUGCACAAUGGGGGAAACCCUGAUGCAGCGACGCCGCGUGAGUGAAGAAGUAUUUCGGUACGUAAAGCUCUAUCAGCAGGGAAGAAAAUGACGGUACCUGACUAAGAAGCCCAGGCUAACUACGUGCCAGCAGCCGCGGUAAUACGUAGGGGGCAAGCGUUAUCCGGAUUUACUGGGUGUAAAGGGAGCGUAGACGGCAGCGCAAGUCUGGAGUGAAAUCCCAUGGCUUAACCAUGGAACUGCUUUGGAAACUGUGCAGCUGGAGUGCAGGAGAGGUAAGCGGAAUGCCUGGUGUAGCAGGGAAAUGCGUAGAUAGUGGGAGGAACACGAGUGGCGAAGGCGGCUUCCUGGACUGUAACUGACGUUGAGGCUCGAAGGCGUGGGGAGCGAAAAGGAUUAGAUACCCUGGUAGUC